rnacentral:tRNA from 1 species
GUUUAAAUAGCUUAUGAUACUAAAGUAUAAUAUUGAAGAUAUUAUGAAAAUAUAUUUUAUUUUUAAAUA